GGCGAUGAUAGGCGACGAAGGACGUGAUAGCCUGCGAUAAGCUUCGGGAGCUGGCAAAUUAGCUUUGAUCCGGAGAUUUCCGAAUGGGGAAACCCACCGAAAGGUAUCGCAUGAUGAAUACAUAGUCAUGCGAGGCGAACCGGGUGAACUGAAAACAUCUCAGUAGCUCGAGGAAAAGACAUCAACCGAGAUUCCGAAAGUAGUGGCGAGCGAAAUCGGAGGAGCCUGUCAGUGAUAGCACGACUCUUAACGGAACAGUCUGGAAAGGCUGGCCAUAGCAGGUGAUAGCCCUGUACGUGAAAAGAGACGUGUGGUACUGAGCUGACGAAAAGUAGGGCGGGACACGAGAAAUCCUGUCUGAAGAUGGGGGGACCAUCCUCCAAGGCUAAAUACUCAUCAUCGACCGAUAGUGAACCAGUACCGUGAGGGAAAGGCGAAAAGAACCCCGG
rnacentral:rRNA from 1 species